UGGGGGAAUAUUGCACAAUGGAGGGAACUCUGAUGCAGCGACGCCGCGUGAGUGAAGAAGUAUUUCGGUAUGUAAAGCUCUAUCAGCAGGGAAGAAGACGACGGUACCUGACUAAGAAGCCCCGGCUAACUACGUGCCAGCAGCCGCGGUAAUACGUAGGGGGCAAGCGUUAUCCGGAUUUACUGGGUGUAAAGGGAGCGUAGACGGCGAUGCAAGUCUGAAGUGAAAGGCGGGGGCUCAACUCCCGGAUUGCUUUGGAAACUGUAUGGCUAGAGUACCGGAGGGGUAAGCGGAAUUCCUGGUGUAGCGGUGAAAUGCGUA
rnacentral:rRNA from 1 species